CCCUUAGAUGUUCUGGGCCGCACGCGCGCUACACUGAUGCAUUCAACGAGUCUAAAACCUGGUCUGAUAGGGCUGGGUAAUCUUUUGAAAGUGCAUCGUGAUUGGGAUAGAUGAUUGCAAUUAUUAAUCUUGAACGAGGAAUUCCUAGUAAACGCAAGUCAUCAGCUUGCAUUGAUUACGUCCCUGCCCUUUGUACACACCGCCCGUCGCACCUACUGAUUGAAUGACUCGGUGAAAAAUCGGGACUGCGAGAACAAUCGAUUAAUUUCGAAUGUACUUGUGGGAACUUUUUUUAACCUCGCCAUUUAGAAGAAGGUGAAGUCGUAACA
rnacentral:rRNA from 1 species